AGCAUAAACUUUACUUAAACUGUCAAAUACAUGGUUUUAAAGUUAUUUUAUUAAUCUAUCACUAAUAAUUAUUUUUCUUAUCAACAGAGAAAGUGAAGUUUCCUAAGCCAUCACUAGAAUUGGAAACACUAGAUUUUAUAAAUUAAUUUCUUUUCAUUGACCUAAACUCCACAUUUCUGCUGUGUUCAUCUGAGGUCAUGUCCAUAUAGUCAAAUAGCUGAAGGAAAGGUGAUAUUUUUAGUCAAAUCAAACUCCAAACAUCAUUUUUAUCUAAAUUAUCUGGAGAAUUGAAUAAAUAUUUUUUUAAGGCUGUCUGUAGAAGAAAAUUAUGUCAAUUUUUCAUUUAGCUAGAGAGGUCCUGACCACAGUGUCUUCUGUUGAAUUUCUCCUCAAGGUAGGAUUCCAAAAUACCUGGAAAAUGUGAAACAGUGUUCCUCGUAUGGGUAAUGUAGCAUCUUCACAAAAAUUCUGUCAUGAUUCAUUUGAAAAAUAAUACCUUCUCAUGUCUAAAAUAGUUUUUCAUGAGAAAUACAUUCUAUAAGAAAAAAACAAUUGGCCUAUCUUAGAGGAAAAUGCUAUUAAAAAUUGUGUUAUGGAAA
rnacentral:lncRNA from 1 species